GACGAACGCUGGCGGCGUGCUUAACACAUGUAAGUCGAACGGAAAGGCCCUGCUUUUGUGGGGUGCUCGAGUGGCGAACGGGUGAGUAACACGUGAGUAACCUGCCCUUGACUUUGGGAUAACUUCAGGAAACUGGGGCUAAUACCGGAUAGGAGCUCCUGCUGCAUGGUGGGGGUUGGAAAGUUUCGGCGGUUGGGGAUGGACUCGCGGCUUAUCAGCUUGUUGGUGGGAUAGUGGCUUACCAAGGCUUUGACGGGUAGCCGGCCUGAGAGGGUGACCGGCCACAUUGGGACUGAGAUACGGCCCAGACUCCUACGGGAGGCAGCAGUGGGGAAUAUUGCACAAUGGGCGGAAGCCUGAUGCAGCAACGCCGCGUGCGGGAUGACGGCCUUCGGGUUGUAAACCGCUUUCGCCUGUGACGAAGCGUGAGUGACGGUAAUGGGUAAAGAAGCACCGGCUAACUACGUG
rnacentral:rRNA from 1 species